CCUACGGGAGGCAGCAGUGGGGAAUAUUGGGCAAUGGGCGCAAGCCUGACCCAGCAAUGCCGCGUGAAGGAAGAAGGCUUUCUGGUUGUAAACUUCUUUGACAGGGGAAGUGCAGUAUUCCGUACCCUGAAUACUAUCUAUGGCUUACUACGUGCCAGCAGCCGCGGUAAUACGUAGGUGGCAAGCGUUGCCCGGAUUUACUGGGUGUAAAGGGCGUGUAGCCGGGAAGGCAAGUCAGUUGUGAAAUCCGGAGGCUCAACCUCAGAAUUGCAUUUGAAACUGUUUUUCUUGAGUACUGGAGAGGCGGGCGGAAUUCCUUGUGUAGCGGUGAAAUGCGUAGAUAUAAGGAGGAACACCAGUGGCGAAGGCGGUCUGCUGGACAGCAACUGACGGUGAGGCGCGAAAGCGUGGGGAGCAAACAGGAUUAGAUACCCCUGUAGUC
rnacentral:rRNA from 1 species